rnacentral:tRNA from 1 species
UGUUGGGUGGUGAAAUUGGCAGACACGCCUUCUUGUCUCGGUGGCGGGGAUAAAUGGAUAAACGCAGUUUAUGGGUUGACCACAAAUUAAUUUUUGAACUGUAGCUAACUACCCCUUGAAGGUUCGACUCCUUCCCCAACAGCCA